UCCGGUUUAUCACCGGCAGUCUCCCUGGAGUUCCCGACAUUACUCGCUGGCAAACAAGGAUAAGGGUUGCGCUCGUUGCGGGACUUAACCCAACAUUUCACAACACGAGCUGACGACAGCCAUGCAGCACCUGUCUCAGAGCUCCCGAAGGCACACCUGCGUCUCCGCUGGCUUCUCUGGAUGUCAAGAGUAGGUAAGGUUCUUCGCGUUGCAUCGAAUUAAACCACAUGCUCCACCGCUUGUGCGGGCCCCCGUCAAUUCAUUUGAGUUUUAAUCUUGCGACCGUACUCCCCAGGCGGUCUACUUAACGCGUUAGCUCCGAAAGCCACGGCUCAAGGCCACAACCUCCAAGUAGACAUCGUUUACGGCGUGGACUAC
rnacentral:misc_RNA from 1 species